UACGUAGGUGGCAAGCGUUACUCGGAAUUACUGGGCAUAAAGGGCGUGUAGGCGGAUGCGUAAGUCCGGUGUAAAAGCCCUCGGCUCAACCGGGGAAAGCCAUUGGAUACUGCGUGUCUAGAGUGCGGGAGGGGAGAGUGGAACUCUUGGUGGAGCGGUGAAAUGCGUAGAUAUCAAGAGGAACGCCGGUGGCGAAAGCGGCUCUCUGGCCCGUUACUGACGCUGAGGCGCGAAAGCUAGGGGAGCAAACGGG
rnacentral:rRNA from 1 species